GCCCCAGGUGUCCUGCAGCCAACUGCAUCUCAAGGUAGAACCAGGACAUAGUGACAUGUUGUGUUUUGUCCAUGAAGAUGGAAAGAUCCUAGACUCUAGAUACUGGCAUAAAACUUAUUGACUAACUUACUUCACAUCUUUCCUACAUUGAGCUACUUCGUGAGCUUCUCAAUGCAAAGCCAAGGGAAUGAGAAAAGACCCAAACUGAUUCUACUCUAUC
rnacentral:lncRNA from 1 species